GGUUAAGCGACUAAGCGUACACGGUGGAUGCCUAGGCAAUCAGAGGCGAUGAAGGACGUGCUAAUCUGCGAAAAGCGUCGGUAAGGUGAUAUGAACCGUUAUAACCGACGAUGUCCGAAUGGGGAAACCCAGUGCAAUUCGUUGCACUAUCGUUUGAUGAAUCCAUAGUCAAACGAGGCGAACCGGGGGAACUGAAACAUCUCAGUACCCCGAGGAAAAGAAAUCAACCGAGAUUCCCCUAGUAGCGGCGAGCGAACGGGGAGCAGCCCAGAGUCUUAAUCAGCAUCAGCAUCAGGAGAACGGUCUGGAAAGGCCGGCAAUAAAGGGUGAUAGCCCCGUAUCCGAAGGUGUUGGUGUUGUGAACUCGAUGAGUAGGGCGGGACACGUGUUAUCCUGUCUGAAUAUGGGGGGACCAUCCUCCAAGGCUAAAUACUCCUGAUUGACCGAUAGUGAACCAGUACCGUGAGGGAAAGGCGAAAAGAACCCCGGCGAGGGGAGUGAAAUAGAACCUGAAACCGUGUACGUACAAGCAGUGGGAGCCUUGAUUUAUCAGGGUGACUGCGUACCUUUUGUAUAAUGGGUCAGCGACUUAUAUUCUGUAGCAAGGUUAACCGAAUAGGGGAGCCGUAGGGAAACCGAGUCUUAACUGGGCGAAUGAGUUGCAGGGUAUAGACCCGAAACCCGGUGAUCUAGCCAUGGGCAGGUUGAAGGUUGGGUAACACUAACUGGAGGACCGAACCGACUAAUGUUGAAAAAUUAGCGGAUGACUUGUGGCUGGGGGUGAAAGGCCAAUCAAACCGGGAGAUAGCUGGUUCUCCCCGAAAGCUAUUUAGGUAGCGCCUCGUGAACUCAUCUUCGGGGGUAGAGCACUGUUUCGGCUAGGGGGUCAUCCCGACUUACCAACCCGAUGCAAACUACGAAUACCGAAGAAUGUUAUCACGGGAGACACACGGCGGGUGCUAACGUUCGUCGUGAAGAGGGAAACAACCCAGACCGCCAGCUAAGGUCCCAAAGUCAUGGUUAAGUGGGAAACGAAGUGGGAAGGCUCAGACAGCCAGGAUGUUGGCUUAGAAGCAGCCAUCAUUUAAAGAAAGCGUAAUAGCUCACUGGUCGAGUCGGCCUGCGCGGAAGAUGUAACGGGGCUAAACCAUGCACCGAAGCUGCGGCAGCGACAUGUAAAUGUUGUUGGGUAGGGGAGCGUUCUGUAAGCCUGUGAAGGUGUGCUGCGAGGCAUGCUGGAGGUAUCAGAAGUGCGAAUGCUGACAUAAGUAACGAUAAUGCGGGUGAAAAACCCGCACGCCGGAAGACCAAGGGUUCCUGUCCAACGUUAAUCGGGGCAGGGUGAGUCGACCCCUAAGGCGAGGCAGAAAUGCGUAGUCGAUGGGAAACAGGUUAAUAUUCCUGUACUGGUGAUAAUUGCGAUGGGGGGACGGAGAAGGCUAGGCUGGCCGGGCGACGGUUGUCCCGGUUUAAGGAUGUAGGUGGGUGAAUUAGGCAAAUCCGGUUCGCUAUACACUGAGGUCUGAUGACGAGUCACUACGGUGGCGAAGUAGCUCAUGCCCCGCUUCCAGGAAAAGCCUCUAAGCUCUAGAUUAUCAUUAAUCGUACCCCAAACCGACACAGGUGGUCAGGUAGAGAAUACUCAGGCGCUUGAGAGAACUCGGGUGAAGGAACUAGGCAAAAUGGUGCCGUAACUUCGGGAGAAGGCACGCUGGCAUUAGGUGAAGUGGUUUACCCAUGGAGCUGAAGCCAGUCGCAGAUACCAGCUGGCUGCAACUGUUUAUUAAAAACACAGCACUGUGCAAACACGAAAGUGGACGUAUACGGUGUGACGCCUGCCCGGUGCUGGAAGGUUAAUUGAUGGGGUUAUCCGUAAGGAGAAGCUCUUGAUCGAAGCCCCAGUAAACGGCGGCCGUAACUAUAACGGUCCUAAGGUAGCGAAAUUCCUUGUCGGGUAAGUUCCGACCUGCACGAAUGGCGUAAUGAUGGCCAGGCUGUCUCCACCCGAGACUCAGUGAAAUUGAACUCGCUGUGAAGAUGCAGUGUACCCGCGGCAAGACGGAAAGACCCCGUGAACCUUUACUAUAGCUUGACACUGAACAUUGAGCCUUGAUGUGUAGGAUAGGUGGGAGGCUUUGAAGUGUGGACGCCAGUCUGCAUGGAGCCAACCUUGAAAUACCACCCUUUAAUGUUUGAUGUUCUAACGUUGCCCCAUAAUCUGGGGUGCGGACAGUGUCUGGUGGGUAGUUUGACUGGGGCGGUCUCCUCCCAAAGCGUAACGGAGGAGCACGAAGGUUGGCUAAGCAUGGUCGGACAUCAUGCGGUUAGUGCAAAGGCAUAAGCCAGCUUGACUGCGAGAGUGACGGCUCGAGCAGGUACGAAAGUAGGUCUUAGUGAUCCGGUGGUUCUGAAUGGAAGGGCCAUCGCUCAACGGAUAAAAGGUACUCCGGGGAUAACAGGCUGAUACCGCCCAAGAGUUCAUAUCGACGGCGGUGUUUGGCACCUCGAUGUCGGCUCAUCACAUCCUGGGGCUGAAGUAGGUCCCAAGGGUAUGGCUGUUCGCCAUUUAAAGUGGUACGCGAGCUGGGUUUAGAACGUCGUGAGACAGUUCGGUCCCUAUCUGCCGUGGGCGUUGGAAGAUUGAAAGGGGCUGCUCCUAGUACGAGAGGACCGGAGUGGACGCACCGCUGGUGUUCGGGUUGUCAUGCCAAUGGCACUGCCCGGUAGCUAAGUGCGGAAGAGAUAACCGCUGAAAGCAUCUAAGCGGGAAACUUGCCUUGAGAUGAGUCUUCCCUGACUCUUUAAGGGUCCUAAAGGAACGUUUAAGACGAAGACGUUGAUAGGCUGGGUGUGUAAGCGUAGCGAUACGUUGAGCUAACCAGUACUAAUGAACCGUGAGGCUUAACCUG
rnacentral:rRNA from 1 species